UGGAAAACUACGUAAGGGGUCGCUGUGGUAGAUUGCUGUUUUAAUCAAGGUGGAACCUGGUGGGACUGGAACCUCGAAUUUCUUGGAUUCUCUGUAUUGUUGCUACCCCGAAUUUACAGCAAAUGGUGUCACCUCUAGAAGAAUACACAAGUUACUUGCCAGAGGAAGACGUUGGUUGGCAAGUACUGCAGCAACACCCUGCAAGCAUUCGCCGAGUAUGUUGUGGUUCCCAGUGACCAUAGUGGAAUGAGCGGUCGGCCUCGCUCUUGGCAAUUGACCAAGACAGAGGAGCAUCUCCGAUCCAAACAUUCAAGACCAACAACGUGAGAUUCCAAUUCCCAGUAUUCAGUUGUUUGAUCCCACCAGGACCUCGGGAUACCCAAAAUAUUUUACUGCAAAAGGAUUCCCUCAGGAGAACUGUACAAAGUUGAUAUUGACAUUGAAUGGCACUUAUCUCAUCCUCAGCUCCUCUUAAGAUCAACAACAAUUACACUAAUGUUAUCAGAGCUUCUCCGUCCCAAAGCGAGGCGAGUGAGAAGUGCUGCAGCCAAUAUGCUUCGAGAUGGAUAUAAUGUCCCAGUCCCUUCAUCUUCCAUGCGAGACCUGGCAUUCACAACACUAGAAGGAUUUCCUUCUCGCAGGCACUCACAAGCUACCUCACAAGCCAACUCACUCGACAGGACGUCCCACAGGCCAUCACUAGCGAGAAUUAAGCACUCAUCUUCUUGAUCUCUUUUUGUGAAGGUAAUCUCGGGCUCUGAUAUCACAAUUGGCUUUAAAAACCUGUCCCCUGACCAAUGAAGAGUAAAAGAGGAAAGUGAGCAAUAAGCACACAAGCAUCAUUAUUUUAUUAUGGAGAUCUUACAAGCUCCCCCGUUAGUCCUAUACCUUCUUUUUCCUAAUGACCUGCAGUUAGUGCUAUGUAUUUAAGCAUCAAAUUGUCACAUUAAGCAAGAGGAAACAUCCUAAAAUAAUUUAAGGUUUCUUUUUUUUA